AGUGAACGCUGGCGGUAGGCCUAACGCAUGCAAGUCGAACGGCAGCACAGUAAGAGCUUGCUCUUACGGGUGGCGAGUGGCGGACGGGUGAGGAAUACAUCGGAAUCUACUUUUUCGUGGGGGAUAACGUAGGGAAACUUACGCUAAUACCGCAUACGACCUACGGGUGAAAGCAGGGGAUCUUCGGACCUUGCGCGAUUGAGUGAGCCGAUGUCGGAUUAGCUAGUUGGCGGGGUAAAGGCCCACCAAGGCGACGAUCCGUAGCUGGUCUGAGAGGAUGAUCAGCCACACUGGAACUGAGACACGGUCCAGACUCCUACGGGAGGCAGCAGUGGGGAAUAUUGGACAAUGGGCGCAAGCCUGAUCCAGCCAUACCGCGUGGGUGAAGAAGGCCUUCGGGUUGUAAAGCCCUUCUGUUGGGAAAGAAAAGCAGCAGGUUAAUACCCCGCUGUUCUGACGGUACCCAAAGAAUAAGCACCGGCUAACUUCGU
rnacentral:rRNA from 1 species